AUUGAACGCUGGCGGCAGGCUUAACACAUGCAAGUCGAGCGGAGUGAUGGUGCUUGCACUAUCACUUAGCGGCGGACGGGUGAGUAAUGCUUAGGAAUCUGCCUAUUAGUGGGGGACAACAUCUCGAAAGGGAUGCUAAUACCGCAUACGUCCUACGGGAGAAAGCAGGGGAUCACUUGUGACCUUGCGCUAAUAGAUGAGCCUAAGUCGGAUUAGCUAGUUGGUGGGGUAAAGGCCUACCAAGGCGACGAUCUGUAGCGGGUCUGAGAGGAUGAUCCGCCACACUGGGACUAGGACACGGCCCAGACUCCUACGGGAGGGAGCAGUGGGGAAUAUUUGACAAUGGGGGGAACCCUGAUCCAGCCAUGCCGCGUGUGUGAAGAAGGCCUUAUGGUUGUAAAGUACUUUAAGCGAGGAGGAGGCUCUCUUGGUUAAUACCCAAGAUGAGUGGACGUUACUCGCAGAAUAAGCACCGGCUAACUCUGUGCCAGCCGCCGCCGUAACAC
rnacentral:rRNA from 1 species